rnacentral:miRNA from 15 species
AGCGGUAUCCAGCCGAUGUUUU